UACGUAGGGGGCAAGCGUUGUCCGGAUUUAUUGGGCGUAAAGAGCGUGUAGGCGGCCUGAAAGGUCAGCUGUGAAAACUCGAGGCUCAACCUCGAGACGUCGGUUGAAACCAUCUGGCUAGAGUCCGGAAGAGGAGUGUGGAAUUCCCGGUGUAGCGGUGAAAUGCGCAGAUAUCGGGAAGAACACCAGUGGCGAAGGCGACUCACUGGACGACUGUUGACGCUGAGGUGCGAAAGCGUGGGGAGCAAACAGG
rnacentral:rRNA from 1 species